CGAAUCUUAACUAUUAAGCUCAUUUACCCUAUAAUUCCUUUAAUGCUCAUUAGCUGAGUGGGUCCCAGAUGGAUCUAUUUUAUUUUUUUUAGCAGUAAAAAGCAAUCAUGAAGUUCAGGUUUGAAUCCAGCUCAAUGAUGAUAAGAAAAAUCUGGGGUUCUGCAUCCUGGACCUUGAGCAUUUGUCUAGCAGCUCAGAUGCCAUCAUACAACCUUGAGAGCCCAGUACAGAAAAGCCAUGUGUCACCUUCUGAUAAAUUGAAGAAUCAAGACUACCAUGUGACUUCUGAUGACAAAUGCUAGACUUCUCAGGGUCUGAGGUACUCCCAGUGGAAUAAAG